rnacentral:misc_RNA from 1 species
GGAAUUCAAGUUUUGUUUUGGAAAAUUUCGUAAUUUUUAUUAUACACAAUGCAGAACACGCCACUUCCCAUAAAUUCCGACAAAAUCGGCUCCUUUUAAAUACCUGCUCAACUCCCGAUCCCUCCUCUUGUCUAUUGUUUUUACGAAAAAUCCCUCUUCCUUCGGGGCGAUAAUCCUAAAUUUCGUUCAAAUUCUCUAGCGAGUUGCUUCUCAUCCGUUCAAUCUAUCACCUGAGAAAUCAGCUUUUUCCCUCACUUUCUGGCAUCUCAUCAUAAUUCUCGAGGUUUAAUCAAUCCUUCUACGACAGAAUCAUGAAUCCUGAAUACGAUUAUUUGUUCAAGCUUUUGCUAAUUGGGGAUUCAGGAGUCGGCAAAUCUUGUCUACUUCUGAGGUUUGCUGUAAGUUUCUGUCAAUUGUCAUGUAAUCUAUGUUUAUUUUUGUUUUUUUCUCUUGAUAACUUUCUUAUCCAUGAUAUUUGCAUAGAAGAUUGGAGCGGAGUGAUAGUUAAUUAGUCAUAGCUUGGUUUGGUGAUGCUUUUAUUUUUGAAGCUUAACUUAUUUGAGAAAACCAUGAAUUUGAGUUUACAAUAAAUAAUUGAGGUUGCUGGUUAUUGAAUGAAAUGGUUAGUAGUAAAGAUGAUUCAACAUACUUUCUGAUUAUACUCAUUAUGGUUUUGGUAAUAAGGAUGAUUCAUAUCUGGAGAGCUACAUCAGUACCAUUGGAGUUGACUUUGUAAGUAAUUGUUAUAUACAUUUUUGACUUUGCCAUUUCAUUUCAUGUUACCUGCAUAAUUGAUUUUUUUUGUAUUGUCCUGCAUUGUGUAGAAAAUCCGCACUGUGGAGCAGGAUGGGAAAACUAUUAAACUCCAAAUUGUGAGUUAUCAAGUUAUUUUGUUACAAGUUAUUUUGUUCAAAUCUGCUAUGUUUUUCUUAGUUUUAAGUCUCAGCAUCUAGGUUGGUUUGAUGGCAAUAAUGAUUUGAAAUUCCAGUGUCCAUAUAGUAUAUAACAUAUAAUGUUUUCUUUUGGGGAAUGGAGGAGUGAUUAUGAGAAUUUCUUUAUUGAUAAUGUAAAUGUUAGUUAUUUGAAAUGCCUUUGGUUGACCUUUCCCAGAAUAAUAUGGUGCAUUAGUAAGUUAAUGUGCCAGAAGUUUCCUAAACUCUCCUAUGUUAAACAUGCAGUGGGACACAGCAGGGCAAGAACGUUUUAGGACAAUUACAAGCAGCUACUAUAGAGGAGCCCACGGUAUUAUUGUUGUUUAUGAUGUCACGGACCAAGAGAGCUUCAACAAUGUCAAACAAUGGUUGAGUGAAAUUGAUCGCUAUGCAAGUGAAAACGUGAAUAAGCUACUUGUUGGUAACAAGAGUGACCUCACAGCAAACAAAGUUGUCUCUUAUGAGACUGCAAAGGCAUUUGCUGAUGAAAUUGGCAUCCCUUUCAUGGAGACAAGUGCUAAAAACGCCACAAAUGUUGAGCAGGCUUUCAUGGCCAUGGCUGCUGAAAUCAAGAAUAGGUGCUCUUAACAUUCUUUUUUAUGUUAUAUGGUUUGAAGACAGUGAAAUUGAGACGCAUAUUUACGAGUUUGGAGCACUGAUCAUACAAAUUGAGUCACAUUUUUACUAGUUUGAAGCGCUCACACAUCACAUGUUCCUCCUAUGAUGAUUUUUUUUUUUUUUAGCUAGUUGUGUUGCUGAUGUAGUUUUAAUUAAUGUUCAUGUUUUAGAAUAUUAAUUCUUUAAUCCCGUUGCAUUGAUUCUUGUUUUCAGGAUGGCAAGCCAACCGGCAAUGAACAAUGCAAGGCCCCCAACUGUGCAGAUUCGAGGACAGCCUGUCAAUCAGAAGUCUGGUUGCUGCUCUUCUUAAAGGGGAAUAUGUUUUAGUGGGCUUAUGAUAUUAACCAUGUUCUUUGCGGCAUGUAAAACUAGUUCUUUUUUAAUGCUUAGAUAAGAAAUUUAUUUGUUGUGGUUUUUGUUCUUCUCAGUUGUUCAACACUGUUAAAACCUCCAUUCUUUUAAAUGUAAUUUUAUUUUAAGAAACAUGUGUACAGAUUAGGAAUAUUGGUGAAUACCAGUAUCUACCUUAUUCUGUUCGUCUUCUGCUUCUUCCACAUGUUAUGAUGCAUUGUCGUUUAUUCUUCUGCCUUACGUGCGUAUCUUGUCAAUGCACCAGACGUUAUAAAGUUCGUUUGCCUGAUUAUAAAAGAAACUGUGGAAAUUUAGUAGCACAUACAGAAUCUAAGUGGAGCCCCGGC